GUGCCAGCAGCCGCGGUAAUACGGAGGGGGUUAGCGUUGUUCGGAAUUACUGGGCGUAAAGCGCACGUAGGCGGAUCAGAAAGUUGGGGGUGAAAUCCCAGGGCUCAACCCUGGAACGGCCUCCAAAACUCCUGGUCUUGAGUUCGAGAGAGGUGAGUGGAAUUCCGAGUGUAGAGGUGAAAUUCGUAGAUAUUCGGAGGAACACCAGUGGCGAAGGCGGCUCACUGGCUCGAUACUGACGCUGAGGUGCGAAAGUGUGGGGAGCAAACAGGAUUAGAAACCCUCGUAGUCC
rnacentral:rRNA from 1 species